rnacentral:rRNA from 1 species
UAAUACGAAGGGGGCGAGCGUUGUUCGGAAUCACUGGGCGUAAAGCGUGCGUAGGCGGCGAUGAAAGUUAGAAGUGAAAGCCCAGGGCUCAACCCUGGAAUUGCUUUUAAAACUCCAUUGCUCGAAUCUCGGAGAGGAUAGCGGAAUUGUCAGUGUAGCAGUGAAAUGCGUAGAUAUUGACAGGAACACCAGUGGCGUAAGCGGCUAUCUGGACGAGUAUUGACGCUGAGGCACGAAAGCGUGGGGAUCAAACAGGAUUAGAUACCCUGGUAGUCCACGCCGUAAACGAUGUGUGUUUGUUGCCGGGAGGUUCACCUUUCGGUAACGGAGCUAACGCGUUAAGCACACCGCCUGGGAAGUACGGUCGCAAGAUUA